rnacentral:snRNA from 1 species
AUACUUACCUUAAGAUGUCAGGGGAGAUCAAGAAGUCCUACUGAUGAUACAUAUGUUUUCAAUUAUUCUUUCCUCUUUUCAUGUUUUUAUUUCGAUAAAAGAUGAGAAUGAAGAAUUAGAAGGAUGCAAGCCAUUUAAUAUGACAGUUAGAAUUCAGUAGUGUAAUUUAUUAUGCUACUGAGUUUCUGCUGUUGUUGUAAUUGAUGGUAGCUCCUUAGUCAACUUACACAAACUGUUGCGAAAAAUGUGUAUUCCGACGAUUCGUUUUCUUGUUUAAUCAGGAAUCAUAAUAUUUUGCUUUUUUUUCAUGUGUUUUGCUAUGCAUGGAAAGAAUAUAGUCGAAUAUUAUGUCUUGAUUGAGCCCUUUUUUCUUCUGCCUGGAGAAGUAUGGCACUGACUAAUAUCAGUGUUAGGAAAGUUGGAUUUGAUUGAGAUUGAAUAUUCAAUUGCUUGUUUGAUGCAUAUGUUACUUUAUAGUUUAAUUAUGCUGUUCUCUCGGGAAGUUCUUUGAUUGGGUUUUGAUUGAUUCAUUUACAUUAGUAAUAUUCUUCGGAGUACAUUAAAGUAGAGAGAAGGUUGAAUCAUUUCUUGAUCAAUUAAUUGGCAUUAUUAGAUUAUAUUCUAAAUAUGUUCUUAGCCAUUUAUUUGACGAUGAACGAUGUUGACUAACCAAGCUAUUCCUAUAUUCUAUUAUAUCUUAAUCAAAUUUGAUAGAAUCGGGUGGGUCUUAUAAUUUUUGAUUUAUUUU